CUGCAUUACAGGUUAUUACAUGUUGAUCUUUUUCCUUCUACUUACAUGUCUUAGAGUACAAGAAGAAAAUUGAUGCAUGCAAGCAGAAAGCGGCUGCUGCCAAAUCUGAAACUGCUGCUGAUGAAGAACUAGGUUUGCUGCAGAAAGAGAUGAAAGAGGAACCAAAGGAAGAACAUAUGCUAAAGGAUGCGUUCAGAUUAGUAUCUAUUCAAUUUAAGUUGCAUCAUAUUGAUUCUUGAUUUAAUGCCAAUAGCUUGAUUAACAAAUCUGUAUUAUGAUUUACACAGUCAUUGUCAGUGAAAUUGAUGAUCUGGAGCAUCAAAGGGAUUCUAUCGAAGAGAGAAGGAAAAACUUAAAGAAACUUGAACUAAAAGAGUUGAGAGUGCAGUAAGUCUCACGUGAAAACCUAUAACUUUUGUAUUUAUGCAAUUAUUAUGGCAUCUACUUUUCAAGCUAUGAAAAUCUUGAAAUGUGUGGCAAGUAUUUUAUCCUGCUAGAAUCUGUGAUGUAGAAUGUAUUCCAACACACAUUGCUGUUUCUUUGCUGUUCUUCUUUCUUCUCAUGGCAAUUUCUUGCAUGGUGCUGGCAGUUCUUAGCCUCCGGUGUUGUGUCUUCUACAUAUCUACCAACUACAUUAGGGAGUGUCUUGUUCACUUGUCCAAGUUGGACCACCUCAAUUGAAUGUCCCCCAUUGCUUUCAAGCCAAACUAAUAAUAAUCAUAUUAAGAUAAGAGCGGGUAUUUUUGUCAAAUUGUUUUUUGGAUAUCUUGGUUUUCUCUUACUUCUAAGUAUAAAAAAAGUUAAUUUUUUGAAAAUUAACUCUUCACUAUCAAAAUGAAUAACUUAAUUAUUUCCAACUUUGAUCAAUUUAAAAGAAUUAUUUAUUUUAAAACUUACUUAUUUACUUGAUCAUAGCCACAACAUGCCACGUUAGUUUUAUGUUGGCAAAGGUAGAUGCCACGCUAUAGCUUCUUUUAGAAACAUAGUAACUCAUGCAAUGUUAAUUGAUCUUGUAGGAAGAAGCUAUCAAUGUUCGCUUCCAUAGCAAAUACUAUCCCCAACUUCGACGAUCCAUCCAAAAUAUCAGGUUGUAUCCUUGUUUACUUGUGUUGCUAAAUUUUCAUAUUAUUUUUCCCCUUUCUGCAGUGCCCAUCCAAUUGGAUUCUAAAUUGCUCUUUAAGCAUCUUUGUGAUCUUUAUUCCCUUUAACUUGAUCAUCUUAGAUAUUGUGGGCAGAGAUAUAAAAGCAAUUGAAAAUUUUGAGUUUGAUUGGAUAAAGCUGACUGCAUUUGAUACUUGUAACAGUAUGUGGAAGAUGAUAAAUUUGUGAUAGGCAUUUCAAAUGACAGUAAUAUGUAAUUUGUUUGGAUCUGUAUUGUUCUGGUCAUUGAAAUGGAAUCUAAUACACAAAUUGUCUUAAGUUGUAAAAUAUUUUUGUUCCUUCAAAUAGUGACUGAUUAUAUUUUGAGCUUCCAGUGUUGAAUAUUUCAAAUAUUUGGUUUGGUUAAGUUCGAAUAUGAAUCCUCGGUUCAUGUGUUUCUAAAACAUUUUUUAUGGCAUGUUUACGAUGUUAGAAAAGUUAUGCCUUUAGAAGUUAGCUCAUGAAAAGAACAUUUUCUCACUCGCGUAACAUGGUUUUUCAUGAAAUGUGUACAACGGUUCAGAAG
rnacentral:lncRNA from 1 species